rnacentral:lncRNA from 1 species
UCAGUCUUUCAGGCCUGUGUGUUUACUAACUAUUCAGAUGCCUUGUGGCAUUCACACAGAUUAUGUAAAAUAAAAAAAAAAAUACAUUAUUAAGGCCGUGGAUGCUGUGAAUGGAUUAUUACAAUCUGCCUAUCAUGGUAAUGGCACCUGUUAGAGGUGUGAUACAAAAGCAGUGACAGGCAGUGUAAUUUAGUAAUUGUGGCCAUUGUACCGAGUGACUGGUCAGUUCACCAGGCAAGUACAAAGGAGGCAGUGUUACGGCAGAGCAGGGGUGGGCAAGCCUAAUAGAGAGAGUUAGUUGUGUACUGAAAGAGACUUUUGGUGGAGGGCUAACUCCCAGGGGGCAACUUAGAAUGAGUUGAAAAGAACGAACAGAAUACAAAACUGGUACAGGUUUUCCUAUUUCAGCUCUUAAAGUGACAGACGACUUACAUGGAUGCACAUUGGCAGGACUUUUUCUUGCUGCCAAAAUAACUUAUUUUUUUUCCCUCCUAGAAUACCCAAAGUUGCCUGUCAUUUGGCAGUCACAUAUAAUGUACUCUUGUCUUCUACUGUCUGUAAAGCAUACUGUGUGAAAGUUCACGCUGAGCUUUCAGAGCGGCAGAUGUACUGAGGUUUGAACAGACUGCUUGCCUACGGUCCACAGCAUAUUUGAAGAACACAUAGGUUAGCCCAGAUAGAAGAGACAGGAACAUGUAUAUCCUUGGCUUUAUUGGUCCUGCCUGCUCACCACAACCUCAUUAUUAUUAAUUAUCAUAGAGGAUUUUGCUACUACUACCAAGCGUCUACCGUGGCUCCCUUGCCAUGUCUGCUGUGCCUGGGCGUGUGCGUGUGUAUGGUGCAGCAGCUCCCUUGCCUGUGCCAGCUUGCUCCCCUCCGUUCUUUCAUACAACUCAGUAGUGAUUGACAGUAGGGUGAGCUUCUCAGGCUGUGUACUAAGCACAUCGUACAGCCAAGCACUUCUCCCUCGUGCUUCUGCAUCAACCUGUGGGCUACGGCAGAGCCUCUGCCCUUUUCAGCAGGUGGGAACAGAGGUUCAUAGGGGUCUGUAGCUCUUGUCUAGCAAGUUGGACUGACAUCUUCACACUAUACAUUUAUAUAGAGAAUUUUCUAUAGGAGAAGGUUAUACAUAGAAAGAAAUGUCUGUGCAGUAACAGUACAAUUAAUUCCAUAGAGUUUUGAAAGAAAGUGACCAUGAUAUAUUGAUAUUGGAUGAGUUUUGAUAGCAGACUUACCCAAAAUAGUCUAGAAUGCUAUCGUAGGCUGGUUCUUCAUUUCAACCCACCAGUAAUAUUCCUAAGAGGGACUGCUUGACUCUUUCUUUUCAUUAUAUGUGGGCCAGCUUAUACAGAAUAUAGAACCUUGCUGCGAGCCAGGCCAGUGUUAAAUAAGGGACACACACAGGAAAAUGGGCGCCACAAAAUGCUGACUCACACCUCUUAGCUUGUGUAAGUGGUGCCGCCAAAGUCCUCAGCGUGAAUGGGCGAGGUACGUGGCUGCUCUGAGUCACAGUAACAGGACUUUGGCCAUCAGCCCAUUGGAACAGACAUUCUGCUUACAAGGAUGCCAGCCAUAGAGCACUGGUGUGAAAGUUAAAAAGCCGUCUGCUUUGACUGAACUGAGCAGCAUUGCAGCUUGGUACUUAUGUUUGUGCCAGUUUGGCAUCUGAACACUCUUCACAGGGGGGAAAAAAAAGAUAACACUUUUGUCAUUUUCGUGUGAUUUGGCAAGGUGGAAUAUUCUUAAGGUGUAAAUGUACUUCCUCCGUUUCCCAGAAAGGACCCCAGAGCUACCCACUGGGAAUGAUGCAGGGUUUUAUAUAUGGUAUCAGGCUUUUCACGGAUGAGUGUGUGUGUGUGUGUGUGUGUGUGUGUGUGUGUGUGUGUGUGUGUGUGUGUGUUUGUUUUUUUGGGAGGGUCUGCUUUUUUUAUCAUGCCAUGCCAGUUACUUUGGGACCAUUAGCAUAUUGACUUCCUUUAUGGGAACAGUUUUCUGAGGCUCAGACCAGGCUCAUUGCACAGAGUGGGCACUGGGCACCGGCCGCAGACAGAGCUGAGCUGGAGGUCAGUACUCCAGCCUGCAGACUGCACACGGGCUUCCUGGGAGGCAGAGGUCAAGGAUGUGGCCACAGGCCUGUGUGUCCAUCAGCCCUGUUUGUGUACACUAUAUAAAUGGUAAUGUGCAUAAACACCGCCCUCUCGCACUGCAUAAUUAUAUUGAUUGCUG